GCGACCCCAGGUCAGGCGGGGCUACCCGCUGAAUUUAAGCAUAUCAAUAAGCA
rnacentral:rRNA from 1 species